CUUUAGGAGGAUUUGAUCCUGGUCCAGGAUGAACGCUGGCGGCGUGGAUAAGGCAUGCAAGUCGAGCGCCGAGCACUUACAAAACUUGAGAAGGUAGCAAUACCGGAUUUUGUGGCGUAAGUGUUUGGAGCGGCGAACGAGUCAGUAACACCUUGGUUACCUACCCCGAAGUCAGGCAUAGCUCACCGAAAGGUGGGGUAAUUCCUGAUAGUCUCGCAAGAGUAAAGGAGCAAUUCGCUUCGGGAGGGACCUAGGUUCGAUCAGCUUGUUGGUAGGGUAACGGCCUACCAAGGCUACGACCGAUAGGCGGGGUGAGAGCCUGAUCGCCGACGAGGGCACUGAGACACGGGCCCUACUCCUACGGGAGGCCGCAGUCGAGAAUAUUCCACAAUGGGCGAAAGCCUGAUGGAGCGAC
rnacentral:rRNA from 1 species